rnacentral:tRNA from 1 species
GCGCCCCGUUCACACGAUUCCUCUGUAGUUCAGUCGGUAGAACGGCGGACUGUUAAUCCGUAUGUCACUGGUUCGAGUCCAGUCAGAGGAGCC